UACGAAGGGGGCUAGCGUUGCUCGGAAUCACUGGGCGUAAAGGGUGCGCAGGCGGAUAUGUAAGUCAGUGGUGAAAUCUCCAGGCUUAACCUGGAAAUUGCCGUUGAUACUAUAUAUCUUGAAUGCUGUGGAGGUAAGCGGAAUAUGUCAUGUAGCGGUGAAAUGCUUAGAGAUGACAUAGAACACCUAUUGCGAAGGCAGCUUACUACGCAGAUAUCGACGCUCAUGCACGAAAGCGUGGGGAUCAAACAGG
rnacentral:rRNA from 1 species